GUCUACAGCCGUGCCACCCUGAACAAGCCCUAUCCCAUCUGAUCUUGGAAGCUAAGCGGGGUCAGGCCUAGUUAGUACUUGGAUGGGAGACCACCUAGGAAGACCAGACACUGUAGGCA
rnacentral:rRNA from 1 species